rnacentral:rRNA from 1 species
GACGAACGCCGGCGGCAGGCCUAACACAUGCAAGACGAACGGUAACAGGAAACAGCUUGCUGUUUCGCUGACGAGUGGCGGACGGGUGAGUAAUGUCUGGGAAACUGCCUGAUGGAGGGGGAUAACUACUGGAAACGGUAGCUAAUACCGCAUAACGUCGCAAGACCAAAGAGGGGGACCUUCGGGCCUCUUGCCAUCGGAUGUGCCCAGAUGGGAUUAGCUUGUUGGUGGGGUGACGGCUCACCAAGGCGACGAUCCCUAGGUGGUCUGAGAGGAUGACCAGCCACACUGGAACUGAGACACGGUCCAGACUCCUACGGGAGGCAGCAGUGGGGAAUAUUGCACAAUGGGCGCAAGCCUGAUGCAGCCAUGCCGCGUGUAUGAAGAAGGCCUUCGGGUUGUAAAGUACUUUCAGCGGGGAGGAAGGGAGUAAAGUUAAUACCUUUACUCAUUGACGUUACCCGCAGAAGAAGCACCGGCUAACUCCGUGCCAGCCGCCGCCGUAA